GAUAAGCGCUUGAGGGGAAGGUGAAAACCUUCGACAAAGUUCGAGCCGAGCGAAGCAAGACAACAACGCAAAGCGGCGGCCCGAAGGGUGAGGAACGAAGUGAUGAAUAAUCCUUAUUCCACCACCA
rnacentral:sRNA from 1 species